rnacentral:lncRNA from 1 species
AGUUCACGUAACAUUCAAUCAAUUAUACCAUUGCUCUAUCUCUAAAGUUUUCUUUUUCUCCUUUUCUCAGUGUCUUACCAAGAAUGAAAGGCAACCUAUGUAAAAACUAUGGGCUUUCUAGUAUAAAUAAAAACUACUCAUCUCCAGAAAAUAAACAAUGACUGCUAAGAUGAUUGAAAAAAGAAAGGAGAAGAAAGUAGCUUGUAAAAGCGUGUGAAAUGCAUUCACGUUGGAAUCUCCUACAGGCACUUCAGAUGGAUAACAUUGACCUCAUGUGUAACUACAACGAAUUCAAGGGUGUGGACAUGUUUUUCAGGUCUUCAGACUGUAAACAUUUUAAGUGUGAUUGCUGUGAAUGAAGGAAACCCAGAGCCAUCAUGACAAGCCUAAACUCAAAGGGGACUGAUUUCUUCUACACUGAAUGUUUCAUUAGUGACAGGGCCCAGAUAAUAAAGAAUUGUGCUCACUUCCUGUGAGUGAUGGCUUUCCCUCAAUUGUAUGCUGAGUAACAUUUACAGUAUUCAUUUUUAAGCACCCAUCUUCCUGGGAGCCCUAUUUCCCCUAAGCUUUCAAUUGAUCCUCCUAAGAGCAGAGAUCACUUAGGCACUGAGCUAUGCAGCUGCUGCCUGAGUCUCCUGGACGCCUGCCCUCACCUCCAGCCACAUGAAAAACAUUCAAGCUUUAACUUCAGAAAUGUUCUCUAACCCACUCCCAGACACCCAACUGAUUAAAUCAUAGAUUAGAGGAAAAA